rnacentral:rRNA from 1 species
CACCUCUAGCAUUACCAGUAUUAGAGGCACCGCCUGCCCGGUGACAUACGUUUAACGGCCGCGGUACCCUGACCGUGCAAAGGUAGCAUAAUCACUUGUUCCUUAAAUGGGGACUUGUAUGAAUGGCUUCACGAGGGUUCGACUGUCUCUUACUUUUAACCAGUGAAAUUGACCUGCCCGUGAAGAGGCGGGCAUAACACAACAAGACGAGAAGACCCUAUGGAGCUUCAAUUUACCAGUGCAAAUAACAUACAACAAGCCCACAGGCCCUAAAUCACCAAACCUGCACUGAAGAUUUCGGUUGGGGCGACCUCGGAGCACAACCCAACCUCCGAGAAACACAUGUUAAGACUUCACAAGUCAAAACGAACUUCCACACACAAUUGAUCCAACAACUUGACCAACGGAACAAGUUACCCUAGGGAUAACAGCGCAAUCCUGUUCUAGAGUCCAUAUCAACAACAGGGUUUACGACCUCGAUGUUGGAUCAGGACAUCCUAAUGGUGCAGCCGCUAUUAAAGGUUCGUUUGUUCAACGAUUAAAGUCCU